UGUACAACUGAAUACGGCUCCUCAAGGGCGGUCAGCGGCUCACUCCCUAGAAGAAAGGGGGUGAAGCCUAAUGGUGUCAUAUGAAGCACUUAACCUAGCAAUCAACUUCGGCGUACUACCAUUAGCAUUGUAGGUGUUAUUCUUGCCAUCGCGACACUUAUAAAAAAGAAAUAGACCUCCCUUGAGCCUGACAAGCACAGGAGGUCCAUCUCUGUUCAACCAUAUGAGCCGCUCCCUGCAUUUGGGAACGUCUGUUGUACAUCGACUGCAUGCGCUGCAGCGCAUGCA
rnacentral:sRNA from 1 species